rnacentral:rRNA from 1 species
UACGAAGGGGGCUAGCGUUGUUCGGAAUUACUGGGCGUAAAGCGCACGUAGGCGGAUAUUUAAGUCAGGGGUGAAAUCCCGCAGCUCAACUGCGGAACUGCCUUUGAUACUGGGUAUCUCGAGUAUGGAAGAGGUGAGUGGAAUUGCGAGUGUAGAGGUGAAAUUCGUAGAUAUUCGCAGGAACACCAGUGGCGAAGGCGGCUCACUGGUCCAUUACUGACGCUGAGGUGCGAAAGCGUGGGGAGCAAACAGG